rnacentral:rRNA from 1 species
CUACGGGAGGCUGCAGUGGGGAAUAUUGGACAAUGGGCGCAAGCCUGAUCCAGCAAUACCGCGUGUGUGAAGAAGGCCUUCGGGUUGUAAAGCACUUUUGAUUGUGAGGAAAGUCUGGUGGUUAAUACCCGCUUGAUUUGACGUUACCUUUAGAAGAAGCACCGGCUAACUCUGUGCCAGCAGCCGCGGUAAUACAGAGGGUGCAAGCGUUAAUCGGAAUUACUGGGCGUAAAGCGUACGUAGGCGGAUUAGUAAGUCGGAUGUGAAAUCCCUGGGCUCAACCUGGGAACUGCAUUUGAACUGGUAGACUAGAGUGUGGUAGAGGAUAGUGGGAUUCCGGGUGUAGCGGUGAAAUGCGUAGAGAUCAGGAGGAACACCAAUGGCGAAGGCGCCUUCCUGGGCCAACACUGACGCUGAGGGACGAAAGCGUGGGGAGCAAACAGGAUUAGAUACCCUCGUAGUC